AUUCUUCUUUACCAGAUAAAACUCCAUCAUUUGUCUUAUCAAAUGGAUUGCUUCCAUAGUAGAUCUCCCAAGCAUAAAACCAAAUUGGUUAUCUGAAAUGUUUGUGCACGCCCUCAACCUAUGUUCAAUCACUCUUUCCCACAACUUCAUAGUGUAGCUCAUAAGCUUGAUCCCUUGAUAGCUAGAACAAUCUUGAGCGUCUCCUUUGUUUUUAUAAACCGGGACCAAGGUGCUCUUCCUCCAUCUUGCGGGAUCCUCGUAGCCCUCCGUAUCUUGUUAAAGAGGUCUGUUAACCUAUUAAUACCAAUCUUACCCAAACACCUCCACACCUUUAUCGGUAUACCAUCAGGGCCAACCGCCUUCUUAGGCUUCAUCUUCUUCCGUGCAAUCUACACCUCUACUCUUUUAAUCCUCCGCACACACUCCAUGUUGAUUUCUUCAUCACUCACGGAGGUAUCUCCCGUCACAACUCCAUUACUUUCAUUAAACAAUUCAUCAAAGUACCCUUUCCACCUAUCCUUGAUGUCCUCCUCUUGUAAUAGGACAAUUUGGUUCUUAUCUUUGACACACUAUAUAAAAUAAAUUUAAAAACCAAAAAAAAAGAAAAAACAAGAUAUUACAUACAUCAAUGGUGUAUAUUUUUUAUAAUUCAAUUACAAGUUAGGUUCAUUGCAUCCCAAUUAGAUAGCUAUCAUCAAUAGCGUUUCGUCCUUAAAUAGUCGUCUAAUCUAAAUGGUAGACCCUAAUUAGCUAUCUAAUUGGUAUGCAAUGAACCUGACUUGUAGUUGAAUUACCCAAAAAUAUACACCAUUGAAAAUCUAAUCUAAAACCCUUUCUAUAAAUAUGAGAAGUUGGUUACUGAGCUUAUGAACGAUACCUGAGCUACUGUUGAAAAUGAAUAGGGGAUUACCCUUUUUGGCCUUGCAAUGAAGUUCUCUGAUAUUGCUGUUUUGCUUUUCCUGGUAUAUUUGUCCAAUUAAGAAGCCUUCUCCAAUUUAGGAACAACUCUGUAAAAAACAGUUGGGCUCGCUCCAAGUUAUUUAACUACUUCAUGUACCUCCAUUCAAGUAUACUCUCAAUUCUUCAUUAAAGCGUCUUAUGAGAUUCUGAGAAUUUUGAAUUCUUGCAGUUCCACCCAACUGGUAUCUAUAUAUGGUCCUGGAUGCCUAAUCACUGAAGGUUGAUUUUACUCGUACAAUAUAUUUGUUCUUUUCGUUCUUUUGUCUAAUGAUUCAGAAACUGAUCUGUAGAAGAAAAUUGUGUAGUUUAUUCCGGAAUAUUUUUGUUUUUCUUUGAUGAUACCUUUUGCAGCCGCUUAUUUCUAGAAUUUUUUCUUUAGAAGUGAGCUUUAAUUUCCUUCUCAACUAGAAUUUGGAUAAAUUUUAAAAAGAAUGAGUAGACAAACAUUGGUUAUGAGUAGUUGAUUUCAAUUGUUGUCAUCCUUUGCUCAUGUGAAAAUUCUUUUGGCUGUCAUCCUUGGCUUAACUGCAAAUUCUUUUGGUGGUGGUUAAUUCUUACAUUAUAACAUGUAAGCCAUUUGUCCCUGUAACUAUUUGCUGCAUAAAUUUCAUCAUUAUGAUUUUUGGCAUUCUGGAUCAGAAUGGUGGUGAAUCUGUCAUGACUCAAGUUUCUGAAAUGAGUUCAAGAUCUUGUCAAGUCACCAGAAAAUGGCUUUAUUAAGCCACCAACAAAUAGAGUGAUAUCAAAUUAGGUACAAUUAUGUCCUUCCUGGUAAAUACUUCUCUGCUCUCAAUGCUAAAAAUUUCAUCUUAUGGCUUUUGAAAAGCAUAUGGAUCAAUCAGAACUUUGUUUGGUUACUGCUUUCUUGACUACAAUGUACUUUCAACCUUAUGAAUUUGUUUGAAUGAGUAGGGAUAUCAAGCAAAUACAUGUGCAGGUAAAAUAUGAUUUUAUUAUAUAAUGCUAAGUGAAUGAGAUAUUUUUACCCGUAUUUUCUCAUUAAUGAGUGUUAGUGAGGUAAAAUAUUUUAUUUUAUUUGUUUUCAUUUUUAAAUUUCAAUACAUUGUGCAAGGCAAAACUCCUAUAAAUUGUCUCAAUAUUUUGAUGUGGUCACUUGAUAUCAGCCAUUUGAGAAGACAACUUUGCAUGGUUUAUAUUAAUUUAACAUUUGGGAUUUUAAUUUUUUUUAUUAUACUGAUUGGUAUUUAUUGAAAUUAUGGUUAGAAAUCGGUUAAUAAUAGUUAUUAGUUGAUCUUAUUUUUCAAAUUUAAUUCACUGCUUAAAGGAGCUUUUUCACUCUAUGAGCUGUAUAUUUCAGUUUAUACGAGGUCUAAAGAAAUGGUUGCUUUAUGGUAUUCACCACCAUCUCUCUUGUUCCUGUAAAACUCGCUGCUUGUUACGAUGAGGGCAUAAAGUUGCCAUUUAAGAAGUCAUUCAUUCUGCCUUUUUUUUUUUUCCUUAUCUUAGUUUGAGUAUUUUUUACACUUGCAGUUGAUUUGCUAUAUACUACAGUGUUUUAUUUGGUGAUGAUAAUAUUAAUGAUGAGUGUUAUAGUAGCUUUUGUUCUCUGGAAUCUUUUGGAUCAGGAGACUUUAUUAUGAGCUAUGCCUUCUAAUACCACACUUCUGUUCAUCCUAUUUACCGAGAACUCUUGUUUAUUUUAUUUUAUUUUAUUUUAUUUAUUUUAAAAGCAAGGGAGUGGAAAAAUGAUUAUCAUUGAAAAAAAAGGUAUUAGCUUAUAUUGCCAAGCAUUAAAAAAACAUACUAUCAAAACAUGUAUAUUGCAGCAUUAGUGAAUGCCGUGACGAUUUCCUUUUUUGCAUUUUUUGACAUGAUAUUGUGUACUUGUCGCCUUGUAUGAGGGCACAUAUAUAUAAUUUCUAAAUAAGGGUAGUAUUUAACUAAUUUACAUUUCUUAUUCUUGUCGCCGCCACUGUUAUUCUUUUCGUUGCUGCUGUUACUUUAGUACCUGCUGCUGUUAUUGUUUUCAUUGCUGAUAUGGCUGUUGUUAUUGUGUUGUUACCGUUAGAUGUUGCUGAUAUUGUGUACUGUUAUUGUAAACAUGUUUGGACUCAUGGUUUGAUUUUCAGAUAUGGGUUUGAUACUUGAUAGAAGUUUUUUAGGUAUAAUCUUGGGUUAUCUUUCGUUGGGUAGUAUGGUUAAAAAGUAAACUAUAAAUAAGUAUGCUAUGUUAUUUUUUGACCUAUUCUUGUAAUCAGCAGAUGACAACUAUGUUUUUCUAUUAAUUCAUUCACAGGAAGAAGGUAUCACUGCCUACUUAAGAUGGGAGACUAUGACACGCUUAUCGAGCUGUUGAAAUUUCAGGUAUUCUACCUGUUGCAAGUUUUGCAAUGCUUUAUUUAAUCAUACUCUGCUGGUUAACCUUUCUCACAAAUUUUGAUUUUUUGCUUACAAAACCUGUUACAUGGCCUCCAUCAAUUUGGAGAGUAGUUUGUGGAGUUGUUAAAUCUGGUAUACUUACAUAUGGUCCUUUCAUCUUUCUCGGAUUUGUUAUCACCAUUUCUAAAUACCCAUGUUCUGCGUUAAAUUUUCAUGCUCUCCACUGUGCUAGCUUUCCUCCUGCUCUGCAUUGCCAUUUUGUAUAUUCAUUUUUACAGGAACAAACCUUGAAUGUGGUGCCAGAUUUCAAAAACCUUGUGAUUCAGGCUCUUCUCUAAAAGAAAAUUCUAAAGCCGAACUUUUCAUGAUGGCUGCUACCUGUGGUGCAUUCUCCCAUUUGUUAUUAGGGGCGGCCUUCACAUAUCGAAGACAGCAACUGCUUGACUUCAAAAAUGAAGUCCUUGUAGAUGUUGCAGGCCCUAGUGAUGGUAAAUUACAUGUAAAAAAUUGAUCGGAAAUUUCAGAGAACUGUUCGGACCUCUUGAUGAAUUUGCUCACCCAUGUGAGUAUUCGGCAUGGUGAUAACAUUUUUGGGAGCUAUAUAUCUUUAGCAUAUGCGAGGACUUGAAGGAUGCCAACUCUUGGCAAGAUAUUGAGAAAAAAGUUUGAGGAAUCCUGAACGAGAGUAUGGAUUUAUCUUAGUUCCUUUUUUAUUUUUUAUUUUUGUUUCUUCUUAGGCCUAUUUGAUAGUCAAGUGCUGUGGCUUUCAUCAUUCACGAAUGUAUUUCCAAUUGUGGAUUUUUAUAUACCGCUCUUUGUAACUUCCUUUCUUCAACAAUGAUAUUUUUCACUUGCUUGUAAAAUUGUGUAAAGACAACUUUGCUUCAUGGAAAUUGGUUAUUGUAGACUUUUAAAAUGUCA